AUCAUUCUAAGACACAAGUACAAAAGAAAGAGAACAAAUCUCUAAAAAGAGAUACAAAGGCAAUAAUAGAUACUGGACUUAAAAAAACUACACAGUGCCCCAAACUAGAAGACUCAGAAAAAGAAUAUGUUCUUGAUCCCAAACCACCACCAUUGACUUUGGCACAGAAGUUGGGCCUCAUUGGGCCUCCACCACCUCCACUGUCAUCAGAUGAAUGGGAGAAGGUGAAACAGCGCUCCCUCCUGCAAGGGGACUCCGUGCAGCCAUGCCCCAUCUGUAAAGAAGAAUUCGAGCUUCGUCCUCAGGUGCUGCUUUCAUGCUCCCAUGUGUUCCACAAAAAAGAACCAGUAUCAAACCCGAGUGAUACACGAUGGGGCCCGCCUGUUCAGAAUCAAGUGUGCGACCAGAAUCCAAGCCUACUGGAGAGGAUACGUUGUUAGAAAGUGGUACAGAAACCUGAGGAAAACAGUACCUCCCACAGACGCCAAGUUAAGAAAAAAAUUCUUUGAAAAAAAGGU
rnacentral:sRNA from 1 species